GAAAGACCCACCACAGAAGGUAAUAGUCCUGUAUGUUAAACGAGAAGACUUCAGAUAUGAUCCAGAGUACCACGGGACACGUGAAACCCUGUGGGAAGCAGGAGGGACCACCCUCCAAGGCUAAAUACUACCUAGUGACCGAUAGCGUAUAGUACCGUGAGGGAAAGGUGAAAAGAACCCCGGGAGGGGAGUGAAAUAGAACCUGAAACCCUGCACUUACAAGCUGUGGAAGCACAUUUCUUGUGUGACCGCGUACUUUUUGUAGAACGGGCCAACGAGUUACGUUAAGUAG
rnacentral:rRNA from 1 species